rnacentral:misc_RNA from 1 species
UCCGGUUUGUCACCGGCAGUCCCAUUAGAGUGCCCAACUUAAUGUGGCAACUAAUGGCAAGGGUUGCGCUCGUUGCGGGACUUAACCCAACAUGUCACCACACGAGCUGACGACAGCCAUGCAGCACCUGUGUUCCCGCCAGCCGAACUGAAGGAUCUCAUCUCUGAAAUCCAUACGGGACAUGUCAAGAGCUGGUAAGGUUCUUCGCGUUGCGUCGAAUUGAACCACAUGCUCCACCGCUUGUGCGGGCCCCCGUCAAUUCCUUUGAGUUUUAAUCUUGCGACCGUACUCCCCAGGCGGGAUGCUUAAAGCGUUAGCUGCGCCACUGACGAGUAAACCCGCCAACGGCUAGCAUCCAUCGUUUACGGCGUGGACUAC